AGUGUGCAGAACGGGCAGAAAAAGGUGUCUAACGGCUAGUUUCCGUGGGGGAUGGCUUAAAUAGCCACAGAGGACUGUAGCAAGGUAGAGAAGCACCAUUCCAUUCAAAGAAAUCAAGCAUUCAUUCUCUGCAUACUUGUCUUCAACGAAAAGAAGGAAGAGCGCCAUUAACUCCAUCCAACUUCCUCUUCCCAGCAUUUUAAAGAAGCCUCCUCCUGCAUUCAAGUCGACCAGACAUUCCAGAGGAGACUCAAAGUUCAAGAAGCCCUACUCUACUCCAACUCAAAAGUGUUUGAGGGCUCUUAACUUCUCUCUAGUUUAUAUUGUAGCAAAUCUGCUUUUUAAGAAGCUCAGUUUUUCUGUUUGUUUCUUAUUCUUUCCAUAUUGUCUUUGCUUGGUUCAAUCGGGGGAUUGAAUCAAGGGUGUAGAGGUUGGUUGGUGAGCCGAGUGUAAAACCAACGUGUAAGGGUUCGAUUGUGAUACCGGAAAAACAAUCGGGGUGGUUCUAGUCGGUGAGCCAGGAAAAACCGACCGAGUUCGUUGUGAGCUCGUAAAACAACAAGUUUGGUUGUGAGCUUGUAAAACAACCGGCUGUAAUCC
rnacentral:lncRNA from 1 species